GAUGAACGCUGGCGGCGUGCCUAAUACAUGCAAGUCGAGCGAACAGACGAGGAGCUUGCUCCUCUGACGUUGGCGGCGGACGGGUGAGUAACACGUGGAUAACCUACCUAUAAGACUGGGAUAACUUCGGGAAACCGGAGCUAAUACCGGAUAAUAUAUUGAACCGCAUGGUUCAAUAGUGAAAGACGGUUUUGCUGUCACUUAUAGAUGGAUUCGCGCCGCAUUAGCUAGUUGGUAAGGUAACGGCUUACCAAGGCAACGAUGCGUAGCCGACCUGAGAGGGUGAUCGGCCACACUGGAACUGAGACACGGUCCAGACUCCUACGGGAGGCAGCAGUAGGGAAUCUUCCGCAAUGGGCGAAAGCCUGACGGAGCAACGCCGCGUGAGUGAUGAAGGUCUUCGGAUCGUAAAACUCUGUUAUUAGGGAAGAACAAAUGUGUAAGUAACUAUGCACGUCUUGACGGUACCUAAUCAGAAAGCCACGGCUAACUACGUG
rnacentral:rRNA from 1 species